rnacentral:rRNA from 1 species
GAUCAUGGCUCAGGACGAACGCUGGCGGCGUGCUUAACACACGCAAGUCGAACGGAGCACCCUUGACUGAGGUUUCGGCCAAAUGAUAGGAAUGCUUAGUGGCGGACUGGUGAGUAACGCGUGAGGAACCUGCCCUUCAGAGGGGGACAACAGUUGGAAACGACUGCUAAUACCGCAUGACGCAUUUUGAUCGCAUGGUCGAAAUGCCAAAGAUUUAUCGCUGAAAGAUGG